GGACAUCGCCGGUGGCCCGGUGGUUAGAGCUUCUGCCUCGGAUGCAGGAGGUCGUGGGUUAAAACCCUGGCCGAUUCA